AUUGAACGCUGGCGGCAGGCCUAACACAUGCAAGUCGAACGGUAGCACAGAGAGCUUGCUCUCGGGUGACGAGUGGCGGACGGGUGAGUAACGUCUGGGAAACUGCCCGAUGGAGGGGGAUAACUACUGGAAACGGUAGCUAAUACCGCAUAACGUCGCAGGACCAAAGUGGGGGACCUUCGGGCCUCACACCAUCGGAUGUGCCCAGAUGGGAUUAGCGAGUAGGUGGGGUAAUGGCUCACCUAGGCGACGAUCCCUAGCUGGUCUGAGAGGAUGACCAGCCACACUGGAACUGAGACACGGUCCAGACUCCUACGGGAGGCAGCAGUGGGGAAGAUUGCACAAUGGGCGCAAGCCUGAUGCAGCCAUGCCGCGUGUAUGAAGAAGGCCUUCGGGUUGUAAAGUACUUUCAGCGGGGAGGAAGGCGGUGAAGUUAAUAGCUUCACCGAUUGACGUUACCCGCAGAAGAAGCACCGGCUAACUCCGUGCCAGCAGCCGCCGUAA
rnacentral:rRNA from 1 species